AGUGGCGAACGGGUGAGUAACACGUGGGUGAUCUGCCUUGCACUCUGGGAUAAGCUUGGGAAACUGGGUCUAAUACCGGAUAGUGCAAGAUGAGCUCGCGGCCUAUCAGCUUGUUGGUGGGGUAAUGGCCUACCAAGGCGUCGACGGGUAGCCGGCCUGAGAGGGUGUACGGCCACAUUGGGACUGAGAUACGGCCCAGACUCCUACGGGAGGCAGCAGUGGGGAAUAUUGCACAAUGGGCGGAAGCCUGAUGCAGCGACGCCGCGUGGGGGAUGACGGCCUUCGGGUUGUAAACUCCUUUCGACAGGGACGCGGUACCUGUAUAAGAAGCACCGGCUAACUACGUGCCAGCAGCCGCGGUAAUACGUAGGGUGCGAGCGUUGUCCGGAAUUACUGGGCGUAAAGAGCUCGUAGGUGGUUUGUCGCGUCGUCUGUGAAAUUCCGGGGCUUAACUCCGGGCGUGCAGGCGAUACGGGCAAACUUGAGUGCUGUAGGGGAGACUGGAAUUCCUGGUGUAGCGGUGAAAUGCGCAGAUAUCAGAGGAACACCGAUGGC
rnacentral:rRNA from 1 species